CAGUCGCCGCGGUAAUCCAGAGGGUGCGAGCGUUAAUCGGAUUUACUGGGCGUAAAGCGUGCGUAGGCGGCUUCUUAAGUCGGAUGUGAAAUCCCUGAGCUUAACUUAGGAAUUGCAUUCGAUACUGGGAAGCUAGAGUAUGGGAGAGGAUGGUAGAAUUCCAGGUGUAGCGGUGAAAUGCGUAGAGAUCUGGAGGAAUACCGAUGGCGAAGGCAGCCAUCUGGCCUAAUACUGACGCUGAGGUACGAAAGCAUGGGGAGCAAACAGGAUUAGAUACCCCUGUAGUCCCUGUCUCUUAUAC
rnacentral:rRNA from 1 species